rnacentral:tRNA from 1 species
GCCUUUGUGGUGUAACGGUAGCACACUCGGCAUGCAUUUUGAGAGGUCCAAAUUCGAGUCUCGGCGAGGGCA